rnacentral:rRNA from 1 species
AGUGAACGCUGGCGGCAGGCCUAACACAUGCAAGUCGAACGGCAGCACAGGAGAGCUUGCUCUCUGGGUGGCGAGUGGCGGACGGGUGAGGAUAGCGUCGGAAUCUGCCUAUUUGUGGGGGAUAACCUCGGGAAACCGGGACUAAUACCGCAUACGACCUACGGGUGAAAGCGGAGGACCUUCGGGCUUCGCGCAGAUAGAUGAGCCGACGUCGGAUCAGCUAGUUGGCGGGGUAAUGGCCCACCAAGGCGACGAUCCGUAGCUGGUCUGAGAGGAUGAUCAGCCACACUGGAACUGAGACACGGUCCAGACUCCUACGGGAGGCAGCAGUGGGGAAUAUUGGACAAUGGGCGCAAGCCUGAUCCAGCCAUGCCGCGUGGGUGAAGAAGGCCUUCGGGUUGUAAAGCCCUUUUGUUGGGAAAGAGAAGCAGCCGGUUAAUACCCGGUUGUCAUGACGGUACCCAAAGAAUAAGCACCGGCUAACUUCGUGCCAGCCGCCGCCGUAA